CCUACGGGAGGCUGCAGUGAGGAAUAUUGGUCAAUGGACGAGAGUCUGAACCAGCCAAGUCGCGUGAAGGAUGACUGCCCUAUGGGUUGUAAACUUCUUUUAUAUGGGAAUAAAAUGUUCCACGUGUGGGAUUUUGUAUGUACCAUACGAAUAAGGAUCGGCUAACUCCGUGCCAGCAGCCGCGGUAAUACGGAGGAUCCGAGCGUUAUCCGGAUUUAUUGGGUUUAAAGGGAGCGUAGGUGGAUUGUUAAGUCAGUUGUGAAAGUUUGCGGCUCAACCGUAGAAUUGCAGUUGAUACUGGCAGUCUUGAGUACAGUAGAGGUGGGCGGAAUUCGUGGUGUAGCGGUGAAAUGCUUAGAUAUCACGAAGAACACCGAUUGCGAAGGCAGCUCACUGGACUGCAACUGACGCUGAGGCUCGAAAGUGUGGGGAUCAAACAGGAUUAGAUACCCUGGUAGUC
rnacentral:rRNA from 1 species